rnacentral:lncRNA from 1 species
UGGCAGGGUGCAGAGAUGGGGUGGGUAAGAUUUGACACAGAACACACAAAAGACCCCAGCCGUGUGGGUGUGGGUGUGGUGGUGGGGAGCCAAGUCAAAGGACCAGGCUGAUUCUCUCAUUGGACUUUACAUGGCGCCAAUCCUGAAGUGUUUGUCAAGGGAGGCCCGCUCUCUGUUCCCAUGGCUCAGGAGGGACUUGAACCCAGGACUGCCAGGUCCUCCUCUGACAUUCCACCCACUCCACAGCACUGGCUCUCCUGGAAGGGUUUCCUGGGGAAGGGGGGAAAAACUUCCUACCCAUAACUUCACUUGAAUGGGAAAGGUUUGGGUUCAAAAGUUUGUGAUACCCCCCUUGCCCUGCAUCCUCCUCUUUCUUUCUUUCCUGCCUUCCCCCCCCCCCCCACCCCUGGCUGUUCCUUCCUUGGCAUUUCUGCCCUUGCAAGAACAGAGAGAGAGACACACACAUGGAGGUGUCACCCGCACAAGAUAGGAAAAGGACAAACACAUGCUGGAAGGCUCUUAUCCAAAGAAACUUCCCUCCUUUUCCUUUUCUCCCAGGCAGGACCUGAGGCCAAGCCGAGGCUCUCCUGGAUUUGCUCAACAUCCAGAGAGGAGAAGCAAACUCCCGAUCGAUCCCUCCAACCUUCGCAAGGCAGGGGAGAUUUUCUUCCUUGGGAUCAGAAGCCCCUCCGUACACCCGACAGGAGACAAACUGCCGUCAAGGCAACAGAUAAGAACCAAAGUUCUGUGGAGCCAGCUAUUUUGCCACUUAAAAGUAGCAAGCCCAAAGCAGGAAGCGAGAGAGAGAGAGAAACCCUAAAGGAAGGAAAAAGUAAAAGGGAAGUCAGGCAAGAACAGAAGGAAAUACAUCUCUAGCUUCUCAGGGAUAUGAUGUAUGUCAGCAACUGUCUGUUUGAAAAAACGCCAGGAAAAAGCAUGGAAAAGGUGCUCCAUCAGCAGAACUAAAUUCAAAUAUAUCACAGAUAUGAACAAACAUAGCAGAAUCUAGUCACAGGCAAUGUCAAACCAAUGUAUGGAACUUUGAAAGGGCAUCAUUCUGAACAGUAAUUGUAUUUCACAUGAAAUACCCCUGAGAG